GGACUGGAAAAAGCUAACUAUGAGCCCAAAGUGGUGAUUCUGCUAAAGACGCUUAAAAUACCUAUUAUAAAACUUCUAACAAACUUUAAACUUUGCAUGUCUUGGAGAUCUGACCAAAGGUUUUCUCUCUUUUAUAUUUAUAUGAAAUAAAUAAACAUAUUUCUCAUUCUAGAUCAGGAUAGUAGUAUAAAAUUCGAGGAUAUUUAUCCAAAUUAUUGAAUAAAAUCUUUGUUUCCGUAUUUCCAUAAUCACCCAAAAAUAUUGGCCACAACUCCAUUACUAUUUCCAUUUCCACCCAAACAUCUUUUCAGUGUGGAACAACCUCUUUUUUAAUAGUCAGGGACUGAAUUCAAAGAUUUUUCUAGAAAGAGCAUCCUUCAGAAGUCAGUUGUGUCUUGACAUCUUGACAGCUGAGAACCGCGCCAGUCCCUCAGUGCCGGAUGUCUGUCUGAGCAGCAGUUGGAGCCCUCUGGUGGGGCCAGGCAUGCUCGGGCCCUUCUGCUAGUGAUGUGUGAAGACACAGGGUGACCCCUUGCCCUCCCAUCUUCCCUGGACCAGGCAGGGCAAGCAGAGCUCAGAUUCACACCCCACUUACUAGGAACAAAGGCAGCAGAAUGUGCAGCAGCACAACUAGACGCCCUGACCCAUUCUGUUCCAGUUCCAGGGCUGAUGCCAACGGUGUGCCAGACUAUUCACAAGCUCAUUGCAUCUGCAGCUAAGGGGCUGCUGGACAGAGGUCCCAGGGCAGCCAGUGCCAAACAGUAUUGCACGUAGUUGGGAUGGAAAUACACUCAUGCAUGGAGCACAGCCAGUUAUUUGAAACAAGAUAACAUGAAAACAAAGUCUGGCCUACUCCCAAAGUUUGGAGAGCAUCUCUGCAGCCUUUUCCGGUCCCAAGGAGUUGUGUUUACAACAUCCUCUAUGCCUGCCUCUCAGCUGUGAUGCUCCAAACCAGUCAAGCCUCAUCCAAACCACUGCUGAGGCCCAUGUCCAGGUGACAGAGUGUAAGUGGCCUUCCUUCAGGACUAGCCUGACAGUCCUAUUCAGACUCUCCACUGAACAAUGCAAGACCGCUCUCCCCCAGCACCACUUUACCUGGCAUGGGAAAUGGAGGGGGCAGCCAGCUUAUUUGCUCGCUCACUGCUUUGAAGCUUUGUCCUCAACUCAUUCAUUUCUGCAUCUUUAAAGUGAAGUUCAGACUGCAGUGACUGGAGCUGGAAGGCAGAAACAACACACCUGUAGUGUACCUGUCACAGACACAGAAACAUCUCUGGGCUUCGGAAUCUCAAGCUGGUGAAGGAGAAACAAUGAGAAACGAGUAUGGAAGUUGGUUGUGGCAUAAAUGUCCUAAAAGACCAAGUGUCAGCGUCCUUCCUGAGAGGCAGCAUGGUAUUCUAGAGAGACUUUUGCACGCAACUAUUAUGAGGUAGCCAGUGAGGUUCAGGACCACAGACUCAGCCUCUCUGAAACAGUCAGAGUGACGAAUGUCAGACGCCUGGUGCAGAGCCUUUGCAUGCCACGCCCCACAGGAACGCACUGGCCUCUUCGUGAACUCAGUGGCACCCAAUUUCAGGUCUCCUCUAAAGCCUGGGAAGCAUGUCUGGAAGUUUUACCAAGACCCCGUGCAGGUGGGGAGAUGGUGCCACUCUGUUCUUGUGGCCUAGAGCCAGCAGCCAGGCAUAGCACUGGAGCCCGCUGGCACAUGGAGACCCUUCGGGUGAUUUCCUGGAGCAGCUAGGGGAACGAGCCAUAGAGCCAGGUCAUUACCCUGAGGUCACCGCUUGUAUGUGAUAAAGCCUGGGUUCAGUCUCUGCUCUGAUGGAGUUUUUGACAUCCCAUCUAAUCUGGGGACCUUAUGAAUAUCUGUAAAAGACAGUUCCAAUAGACUCUUCAGGACCCAAUGUAUUCCCACUUUGGCCAACAAUGUUGAAAAGCAUCACCCUUGAAAACAAAUUAGAGAAUCUAGUAAGCAGUAUUUUCUAAUCUAA